GGCGGAUGCCUUGGCUCAUGGAGGCGAUGAAGGACGUGAUAAGCUGCGAUAAGCCCCGGGUAGAUGCAAGCAAUCUCUGAUCCGGGGAUUUCCGAAUGGGACAACCCAGCACUCUGAAGGAGUGCUAUCCUGAUUUUUGUUCAGGAGGCUAACGCAGGGAACUGAAACAUCUUAGUACCUGCAGGAAAAGAAAAUAAGUUAAUGAUUCCCCCAGUAGUGGCGAGCGAACGGGGAGUAGCCCAAACCCGCUGCGUUUCAAUGCACGGCGGGGGUUGUAGGACCACGCUGUCGUACCCCGGGUGUGAGGAGAAUGUUCUGGAAAGUUCAACCGUAGCGGGUGACAGUCCCGUAUCCGAAGCAUGAUGGGGCGUAGUGGUAUCCUGAGUAGCGCGGAGCACGAGUAAUUCUGCGUGAAUCUGCCGGGCCCAUCCGGCAAGGCUAAAUACUCCCGUGAGACCGAUAGUGUACCAGUACCGUGAGGGAAAGGUGAAAAGCACUCCAAUUAGGAGAGUGAAACAGUUCCUGAAACCAUGCGCCUACAAGCGGUCGGAGCAUAUUCCUGUAUGUGACGGCGUGCCUUUUGCAUAAUGAACCUACGAGUUACCAUGCCCAGCGAGGUUAAGGGGCUCAGCCCCGUAUCCGCAGUGAAAGCGAGCCUGAAGAGGGCGUUCAGUUGGGUGGGGUAGACGCGAAACCAAGUGAUCUACACUUGACCAGGUUGAAGUUCCGGUAACACGGAAUGGAGGACCGCACGGAUAAGCGUUGAAAAGCUUCCCGAUGAGUUGAGUGUAGGAGUGAAAGGCCAAUCAAACUUGGAGAUAGCUCGUACUCCCCGAAAGGCAUUUAGGUGCCGCGUGCAGUGUUCUCCCCAAGAGGUAGAGCGACCGAUAGGACGCGAGGGCUUCACCGCCUAUCAAGUCCUGACGAACUCCGAAUGCUUAGGGGACAGAAGCUGCGCAGUAAGGGGACGGGUGCUAAGGUCCGUUCCCGAGAGGAGAAGAAUCCAGACCGCCGUCUAAGGUCCCGGAGUUCUGCCUGAGUUAGUCUAACGAAGUCUGGUCCCCGCGACAGCCAGGAUGUUGGCUUGGAAGCAGCCAUUCAUUUAAAGAGUGCGUAACAGCUCACUGGUCGAGGGUCCGGGCGUGGAUAAUAAUCGGGUAUAAGGCAGACACCGAAGACGCGGGAUAGUAUUUAAAAAAGUAUCGGUAGGGGAGCAUUCCAUGCGCGUUGAAUGCGGCGAGGCGAUUGCCGCUGGAGCCCAUGGAAAAGCAAAUGUAGGUAUAAGUAACGAUAAGGAGGGUAAGAUUCCCUCCCGCCGUAAGACUAAGGUUUCCCGGGCAAUGCCAAUCAUCCCGGGGUCAGUCGGGUCCUAAGGCUCAGCCGAACGGCGAGGCCGAUGGCAGAAAGGGUUAAUAUUCCCUUACUGCCGCACGGAGCGACGCGGAGACGGAGGCGUGACACCACCGCGGAGAUACGGAAUUCUCCGUUGAAGAGCGUAGACGUUGAGGGCGGCAGGCAAAUCCACCGCCCGAGUCGAACCUCGAAAGUAUGCCUUUCCCUUCGGGGCGAGGCAAUAGCGUGGGUAAGCAUACUCCCGAGAAAAUCCGCUAAGCUCAAUGUUUGGGCAACCCGUACCGCAAACGGACACACGUAGUCGGGUAGAACAUACUGAGGCGUUGAGAGAUUCAUGGUUAAGGAACUAGGCAAACUGACCCCGUAACUUCGGGAUAAGGGGUCCUCAUAGCAAUAUGAGGCGCAGAGAAUAGGUCCAGGCAACUGUUUAACAAAAACACAGGGCUGUGCUAACUCGAAAGAUGACGUAUACAGCCUGACACCUGCCCGGUGCCGGAAGGUUAAGAGGAGAGCUCAGAGCUUCUGCUCGAAGGUUUGAAUUGAAGCCCCGGUAAACGGCGGCCGUAACUAUAACGGUCCUAAGGUAGCGAAAUUCCUUGUCGGGUAAG
rnacentral:rRNA from 1 species